rnacentral:rRNA from 1 species
UUGCCUUAGAGCGGCGAGUGAAGCGGCAAAAGCUCAAAUUUGAAAUCUGGCGCUUUCGGUGUCCGAGUUGUAAUUUGAAGAUGGUAACCUUGGGGUUGGCUCUUGUCUAUGUUUCUUGGAACAGGACGUCACAGAGGGUGAGAAUCCCGUGCGAUGAGAUGCCCCAUUCUUUUGUAGGGGCCUUUCAAAAAGCCAAUUUGUUGGGGAAUGCAGCUUCUAGUGGGUGGAAAAUUCCAUUCUAAGGCUAAAUAUUGGCGAGAGACCGAUAGCGAACAAGUACAGUGAUGGAAAGAUGAAAAGAACUUUGAAAAGAGAGUGAAAAAGUACGUGAAAUUGUUGAAAGGGAAGGGUUUGAGAACAGACUCGAUAUUUUGUAGCUUGCUCUCGGGGGGGGCGACCCGAUUUUAUGGGCCCGCUCGUUUGGCGGGGGCUAUCGCAUAGAAUGGCCUGUACUCGGGGAGUAUAGGCUGCCUGAUGCGACUGUAUACUCAGAGCUGCAUCUACUAGAUGUGGCAUAUGAUCUCAAUCGCGUGGAAAGAGACACAA